rnacentral:rRNA from 1 species
AGUCGAGCGAACAGAUAAGGAGCUUGCUCCUUUGACGUUAGCGGCGGACGGGUGAGUAACACGUGGAUAACCUACCUAUAAGACUGGGAUAACUUCGGGAAACCGGAGCUAAUACCGGAUAACAUAUUGAACCGCAUGGUUCAAUAGUGAAAGGCGGCUUUGCUGUCACUUAUAGAUGGAUCCGCGCCGUAUUAGCUAGUUGGUAAGGUAACGGCUUACCAAGGCAACGAUACGUAGCCGACCUGAGAGGGUGAUCGGCCACACUGGAACUGAGACACGGUCCAGACUCCUACGGGAGGCAGCAGUAGGGAAUCUUCCGCAAUGGGCGAAAGCCUGACGGAGCAACGCCGCGUGAGUGAUGAAGGUCUUCGGAUCGUAAAACUCUGUUAUCAGGGAAGAACAAAUGUGUAAGUAACUGUGCACAUCUUGACGGUACCUGAUCAGAAAGCCACGGCUAACUACGUGC